GAGGGUAUAGCUCAGAGGUAGACCGCGUGCUUAGCAUGCACCAGGUCCUGGGUUCAAUCCCCAGUACCUCCU
rnacentral:tRNA from 1 species